UACGAAGGGGGCUAGCGUUGCUCGGAAUCACUGGGCGUAAAGCGCACGUAGGCGGCUUUCUAAGUCAGGGGUGAAAUCCUGGAGCUCAACUCCAGAACUGCCUUUGAUACUGGAAAGCUUGAGUUCGGGAGAGGUGAGUGGAACUGCGAGUGUAGAGGUGAAAUUCGUAGAUAUUCGCAAGAACACCAGUGGCGAAGGCGACUUACUGGACGAUUGUUGACGCUGAGGUGCGAAAGCGUGGGGAGCAAACAGG
rnacentral:rRNA from 1 species